CUCCAAACAUGUAUUAGAAACCACCGUUUGCUGUUCUUCGUCUUCUGUUCUCUGAUGAUCAUCAUGUUCUGGAGGAACACAGCAGUUCUGAUCCUGAUCCAGCUGAUUCAGGCUCAGCAGGUGUUUGCAGCUCCAUCGUUUACUGAACACAGAAGCCUGGAGGUUUCCAGAGGAGAUUCAGUCACUUUGACUUGUAACGUGUCUGUGGAAGAAGCAACAGAAAUCAAAUGGACCAAAAACAAUUUAUUAUUUCAUCAUUCCGUCAUUCUCAACGCCACAGUUUCAAAUUUCUCUUUUUCUAACAUCAGAAUCGAGACCGACCUCCCUACAAAGUUAAUGUUUCUGAAUGUUCAGGAUGAAGAUGAAGGAUUUUAUAAUUGUACUGUAACUGACAGUAAAGGAUUUAAAGGAAUUACAUGGAAGUUAAAUCUGCUCGAGAAAAGUAAAGGAAUCAGAUUUUUAAUUCGUCCCUAUCUAGUAGCCCUGAUUGGAGCAGCGAUUCCUCUGUUUUUUCUGCCCUUUUAGUCGUCUGCUUCUACAGAUUCUCUCCAGUUUCCACAAAAACUCUCUGUCUUCGUGCUGAACGCAAUAGAAGAAGAUGACGGCAGAGAACAUGGAGAUGAAGGAAUGGAGUUUCAACUUUGAGCUUGGACACCAAACAGCAGAGAUGAAGUCUUUAGAAACUGUUUAUCCAAAUGUGAC
rnacentral:lncRNA from 1 species